UACGGAGGGUGCAAGCGUUAAUCGGAAUUACUGGGCGUAAAGCGCACGUAGGCGGUUCAUUAAGUCGGAUGUGAAAUCCCCGGGCUCAACCUGGGAACUGCACCCGAUACUGGUGGACUCGAAUCUGGGAGAGGGGAGUGGAAUUUCCGGUGUAGCGGUGAAAUGCAUAGAGAUCGGAAGGAACAUCAGUGGCGAAGGCGACUCCCUGGCCCAAGAUUGACGCUGAGGUGCGAAAGCGUGGGUAGCAAACAGG
rnacentral:rRNA from 1 species